rnacentral:rRNA from 1 species
UACGGAGGAUCCAAGCGUUUAUCCGGAUUUAUUGGGUUUAAAGGGUGCGUAGGUGGCUUUUUAAGUUCAGGGGUGAAGGACGGUAAGCUUAACUAUCGCAGUUGCCUUUGAUACUGAAGUAGCUUGAAUGAACUAGAGGUAGGCGGAAUGUGACAGUAGCGGUGAAAUGCAUAGAUAUGUCACAGAACACCAAUUGCGAAGCAG